rnacentral:rRNA from 1 species
ACUCCUACGGGAGGCAGCAGUGGGGAAUAUUGCACAAUGGGCGAAAGCCUGAUGCAGCGACGCCGCGUGAGGGACGACGGCCUUCGGGUUGUAAACCUCUUUCAGUAGGGAACAAGGCAUCAUUUUUGUGGUGUUUGAGGGUACUUGCAGUAAGAAGCACCGGCUAACUACGUGCCAGCAGCCGCGGUAAUACGUAGGGUGCAAGCGUUAUCCGGGAAUUAUUGGGCGUAAAGAGCUCGUAGGCGGUUUGUCGCGUCUGUCGUGAAAGUCCGGGGCUCAACUCCGGAUCUGCGGUGGGUACGGGCAGACUAGAGUGAUGUAGGGGAGACUGGAUUCCUGGUGUACGGUGGAAUGCGGCAGAUAUCAGGAGGAACACCG